rnacentral:lncRNA from 1 species
AUGGAGGAGGCGCAGGAGGUGGUGGAGUCGAUGGACUCGGACGGAGAUGGGUUGCUGGGAUUGGAGGAAUUUGUGGGGUGGAUGGAGAGAGAGGGUGAAGAGAGAAAGAUGGAGGAUUUGAGAGAGGCCUUUAGGAUGUAUGAGAUGGAAGGGAGUGGGUGUAUUACUGCAAAGAGCUUGAAAAGGAUGCUGAGUAGAUUGGGGGAGUCAAGAAGUGUGGAAGAGUGCAGUGUUAUGAUCGGACAAUUUGAUGUAAAUGGGGAUGGGGUUCUGAGCUUUGAUGAGUUCAAGCGCAUGAUGCUUUAAUCUUGUUUAACAUCUUUUAUCUGAAUGUUGUAUUUUUUUUUUUAGAUUUAAGAAGAGUGGUUUGUAUUCAAAAAUUAAGAUUCUCCUCAUUGCUUUCCUCGUGCACAUGGUGAAGAAAAUACUCCCUAUUCUAUAUUUGAUUUUGCAUAAAAAUUCCUUUUACGGCAAAGAGCAAGUGUGAUAAAAUUUAAGUUGAUUUUUAAAUUAAAUUGUUAGUUCAAAUCAUUUUCUCUCUGUGUUUGUAAAAUACUCAUAUUAAAAAUAUUAUAAAAAUACAUAAUAUUAUUACAUAAAAUAAUAAUGAAAUAUAUAUCAUGGAAAAAAUGAAGUAUUAAAUUAUUUUAUAUUUUUAAAAAGUUAUUUAGUCUAAGUUAUUGUUUUGCAUUAUUUUAACUUUAAAUUAUAUAGAAUUAAUUUACCAAUAAGCCUAGACCCCAUUUGAAAUAGAGUUUAACUUUUGCCCUAAUAAUAAAUAAGUAGAAGUAUAAGUAUUAUUAGUGUAAUUGAAUUUUAUAUUUUGGAAUGAUAUCUAUCCCCGCAAAUUUAGGCAGUCUUGUAAAAUAAGUAAAACUAUUGAAAAAAUAUGAGAAUAAAAAUUUUGCAUUAAAAUAAUUAUCGGGGUGCACAAUCCAUAGGACGAUAAUGAAUUGGAGUUCAAGAUCAAUUAAGGACCUUUUUUUUUUUUUUUUAAGUGGGAAGUUGUUUUUCACAAUUUUAUCAUUGAAGGAAGUUAUCUGUAUUUGUAAGUGAAGUUAGAGAAUUAAAUUUGGAAUACCGAAGAUUUGAUUAUUUAAUUCAAGAAGUUUGGUUUCUUAAAGUUAACAACUUGUCUAAUUUAUUUAGGAAAUUAGUCAAUAAGAGAAUAUUUAUUUUCAAUUUUCUUUUGAUUUUGUCUUUUUUUAUUGAGGAAAUUUGUUAAUAAAAAAUAUAUAUUUUUAAUUCUCUCCUAAACUUUAAUGAUUUGAUUUAAUUUUAUUUUGUAAUACUUCUAAAUUUCAUGAGGUGUCACAUUUGAAUAGUCAUAGAAGUGCCUUCACAAAUGUAAAUAUAAUUACAUUUGAUCUCAUUGUAACCAUAUCGAGAAGUCGAUACACGACUCAUAUUGUAAACUCUCCCUAGAAGUUGACUACACACUUAUUUGGUAAAUUACAAUAGUAAAAGAAAAAGAACACAAAAUAUGCACCUAGCCCAAAGUUGGAUGAGAUUUACUUUUGUGAAUAUUAACAUUAACACUAUGUUUGGUUCAUAGAACAUUUGAGAGAAAGAAAAUAGGUAAGAAUCGAAAUAAAAAAAAAAGAAAAAGUUAAGAAAAAUAAAAAAUAAAGUUGAAGUCGAUAAAUUAUUUUUAUUUACUACUAUAAACUCAUUUUAUUUAUUUUAACUCAUCAGUAUAAGGAUUAAAUAAUUUAAAUUUUAAAAAUGUAUAAAUUUUUAAUUAAUUUUAAUUAUAUUUAAUUUUCUUGAAAAUUGUUUCUAGAACAAUCAAAUAUAAGAAAAUCAUUUUUUUAAAUAUUUUUUUUAAUACUUUUCGUGCACCAAAUAUAACUUAAAAGUAUUUUUAUUUUUUAUAUAAAAUAUCACUAUCCUAUUAUUAAACAAAUCAAGGGUCUGUUUAAAAAUAAAUUAUUUUCCAUGGGUAUAAAUAUCUCAAAAAGAUAAUAAAAAAGCCACAUUUAAUUUACUAAUAUAAAAAAGUCCACACCUGAUAAAUCUUUUCCACCUCAUGUCUAGGCAGAUAGAAGGGAGAAAGAGACCAAAAAGACAAACUAGCUUUCUGUGGCGGUUGAGUGUUUUGACCGUUGUAGAUGUAAUUCUAUCUCAAUUUAAUCCAGGCAGCUUCUCACUUUCUUCCCCCAAAAAAUCCAUCAAUUACGCACUCCCUGACACCGUGAUCCAUGCUUUCUUCUUCUCAUCUUCAACUUCAAAACUUCCAAGUUUCCAAUCCUUUUAUGCGUCUCAUAAAGCUAUAUAUAGACUCACAAAUUGUUAUUCACAACACUCCAAGCAUCCAAGUUCUUGCGGUAAGCAGCCAUGAUUAACUGCAGCAUAUAUGAACGCAUAUUCAAGCGCUUUGAUGAAGAUGGUGAUGGGAAACUCUCUCCUUCGGAGCUUCGAAGUUGCGUGGGGACGAUAGGGGAGGAGCUGCUGAUGGAGGAGGCGCAGGAGGUGGUGGAGUCGAUGGACUCAGACGGGGAUGGGUUGGUGGGUUUGGAGGAAUUUGUGGGGUGCAUGGAGAGAGAGGGCGAAAAGAGAAAGAUGGAGGAGUUGAGAGAGGCUUUUAGGAUGUAUGAGAUGGAAGGGAGUGGGUGUAUUACUCCAAAGAGCUUGAAGAGGAUGCUGAGUAGAUUGGGGGAGUCGAGAAGCGUGGAGGAGUGCAGUGUUAUGAUCAGGCAGUUUGAUGUUAAUGGCGAUGGGGUUAUGAGCUUUUAUGAGUUCAAGCUCAUGAUGCUUUAAUAUUGUUUGAUACCUUCCACAUGAAUUUUAUAUUCUUUUUAGAUUUAUAAAGAGUGAUUUGUAUUCAAGAUUCUUUCUACAUAAGGGUCUCCAACGGGCCGGGCCGGGCCGUCCGGCUCGGAGGAGUAAGACCCAUGGCCCAGCUCGAGGCGGGCCACUGAGUCAACGGGCCAGGCCGGGCCGGGCCCUUGGUAUAUCUAAGGCCCGUGGCCCAGCCUGUGGGCCCUCAAGCUGGGCGGGCCGACUGGGGAAAAAAUUAAAAUAGUUUUUAGUUUUGAAGGGAAGAGGUUCGAAAUCCCCUUCCCUUAUGGAUCCAUAAGGGAGCUAGCCACCAACUGAGCUAGUCCUCUUUUGUGUAACUAUUUUGCAUUAGUUAUAUAUAUAUAUAUUAGAAAUGUUGUAUGAUUUUUGAAAAAAUAUAAAAGUGAGUUGGCUGUUCAACGGUCACAUGACUCACAUGACCGUUGAACAUGUCUGCCACUCAAUUCAAUAUUAUGACCGUUGAACGAUCUUGAUUAAAAAAAAAAGAAAUAAUAAAUCCUAAUAUUUAAAUCUCUAUAAAUAUUAAAUACCCUCAAUUUUUUUCUAUUCUCUCAACUCUUAAGCUCUCUCCCAUUCCACAAUAUUUCCGAUUAUUGCAUUUUAUCUCAAAUUAUUCAAUAUUAUUGAUGGUGAAAAACAAGCAUUGGUGGUUCAAAAAGUUCAAAUUUGAAGGAAUUUCUGCUUCGGUUCUCUAAUUUAGUAACAUACUUCACCUUUACUUUUAUUUAUUUGUUACAUUUUAAUUUUACAUUUAUUAUUUUUAGCAUAAUAUUUUAUCAAUAAUUAUAAUUAUGGCAAGUGGUUCUUGUUCUUCAUCUAAUACAUGUGAUAGCAAAAAAUUUACAUCAAAUAUAUGGAAUUUUUUUGAUAGAAUAGAAAUAAAUUUAGAAAAUAAUAAAAAAGAAAUAAAAGCAAAAUGUAAAAUUUGUAACAAACUUCUUAGUGGUGGCUCAAAUGCAGGUACAAGUCAUUUAAAAAGGCAUCAUGAAAAUUGUAAAACUAAAAAUAAUGUAGAUAUUAGAAAUUAUAUGCAAUUAGGUAAAGAUGAAAGUGGAAAUUUAAAAACAUUUUCUUAUGAUGAAUCUUAUUGUUGUGAAGAAAUGAUUGGUUAUAUAAUAAGAGCAGAACAACCUUUCAAUUUCAUGGAAACUCAUGAUUUUACGGGAACAAUGCAACGAGCUGUUAAUCCUCAGUUUUAAGGUUGCUCUGGAAAUACAGUUAAAAGAAUUCUUAUAAAAAAUUUUGAAACACAAAAAGAAAAUUAAAAAUUUUUUUUUGCAAAUUUUGAAGAAAGAAUUUGUUUAACAUCUGAUAUUUGGACAUCUUUAACUCAUAGUGGUUUUUUUAUAUAUAACUGCUCAUUAUAUUGAUAAUGAAUGAAAAUUAAAUAAAAGAAUUAUUUCAUUUAAAAUAAUAAAUGCUCCAUAUAAUGGUAAAAAUAUAGCAUCUUUAAUAAAUGAUGAAAUUAUAGAUUUUGGCAUUCGUGAUAAAAUAUUUACAAUAACAUUAGAUAAUGCUUCUAAUAAUGAUGCAGCAGUAUCUAGAUUAAAACGAUAUUGGCAAAUAAAAGAAGAUCAAUGUAAAAUAUUUCAUGUGCGUUGUUGUGCACAUAUUUUAAAUUUCAUUGUAAAAGAUGGAUUAAAACACGUUGAUGAUACAUUAUAAAAAAUUAGAGGCAUUGCUGCGGGUCUUAAUAGUUCUCAAGCAAAACAUGAAUUAUUUUUUUAUUGUUGCAAAAUGUUAAAUAUGAAAAAAAGAAAUAUAAAUUUGGAUAUGCCCACUAGAUGGAAUUCCACUUAUAAACUUUUACAAACUAUUACAAAAUAUAGAAAAGUAGUAGAACUAUAUGAAAUACAAUUAAUUAACAAUGAUUGUGAAACAAAUAUUGAUGUAUUAAAUGAUUAUUAUUGGCAUAUUGCAGAUCUUUUAAGAGAUCUUUUUGAAGUAUUUGAUACUUCAACAAAAAAUUUUUGUGGUGUAUAUUAUCCAUCUUCAAACCGAGUUGUCAUGCAAAUAACUAAUAUUUUUAUUGUACUUCAAAAAUAUUUAAAUUUGGAUAUAUUUAAUGAUGCAAUAUUUGCAAUGAUAGAAAAAUUUAGAAAAUAUUGGGGAGAAAUACCUUUAAUUUUUUAUCUUGGUUUUGUGGACCCUAGAUUGAAAUUUGAAACUUUGGAUGAAUGGUUAACAAUUAUUUAUUUUAAUGACCAAAUAAAAAUUGAAGAAAUUAAAAAUGAAAUAAAUUCAUUAUUAUAUAAUUUAUAUAACUAUUAUAAAGAAAAAUAUGGUGAUGAUAUUAGUUCUAUUAAAUUACCACCUAUAUCUACAAGUUCUUCAUCUUUUUAUAAAGGAGCUCUAGAAAUGUUAAAAAGUUGAAAGAAGAUAACAAAUAGUUCUCCAAACAACACAACUGAUUUAGAUAGAUAUCUUAAUAUUGAUUUAAUUUCAUUUGAAGAUGAUGAAGAUUUUGAUAUUUUAAUAUGGUGGAAAUCACAACAACACAAAUAUCCUGUGCUUUCUAUCAUUGCUCGUGAUGUACUAACAGUUCUUGUGAGUACAGUUGCAUCAGAAGCUGCUUUUAGUGUAGGUGGAAGAGUAGUUAGUGAUAAACGAUGCAACUUAGCGCCGGAUUCUAUUGAAGCAAAUAUAUGUGUGAAAGACUGGACAAUAGUAGAUAAAAGGAUAUUUGAUUCUAUUCAAGAAGAAAAUAUGCUUGUCGAUAUGGAAAAACUAAAAUCAUCAAGAUCUUCAUGGAUUUGCGAUAGUUCGCCAACACCGCCAAGAGAUAAUGAUUAAAAUAUUUUACUAAAUGUAUGUCAUAUUUUUAUUUUUAUUUUUGUAGUUGAAAAGUACAAAUGAUUGACAAAUAAGUAGGUGCCAACCUAGUUGGGAUGUAUUUAUUUUGUAGUGAUGUAAACUUUUCCCACAUUUUCAAAUGUAACGUAUACAUUCAAUGAAUAAAAUAGUUAGCAAUGAAUAUUUUUAUUAAUGUAGUAUUUUCUAUUUCUUGAAUAUUUAUAUAUAUAUAUAUAUUUAAGUGGCGGGCCUACGGGCGGGCCAGCCCACCGGGCCUAAAUUGGAGCCCAUGGCUCGGUCCAUCCAAAAAUGGGCUCGAGCCGGGCCGGGCCUAGGCCAGGCCGCGGGCUUUUUAGAGACCCUUAUUUCCACAUAUACAGAGGAAUAUGAUUUUUUUUUCUUUCCACUCUAUAACAUUUAUAUAUAUAUAUAUAUAUAUAUAUAUGUUCUGUACAUGAUUGUUUGGGCCAAUUAAACUCUCAAGGGUGUGUGGAACCCUGCACUAGUCUUGUUAUAUACGGUAACUCAACUGACUUUAAAUGGAAGUUGGUGCUUUAACACAUAGCGUUAAUAUGUUUAGUAACUUAAAUUAAUUUAUUAAACAAUUCUAUAUCUUUUUAAUAUGCCAACCAAGGGAAUUAUAGCAUUUUUCUCAUUCAUGCUAAGGAAUUAGUGAAAGUAUGGAUUGUGAAGUUAACAUAUAACAACUCGCGCUUAACUGUAUAGAUAUUAUCCUCUCUAAGUCCUAAAGGGCCCUUACAGCUUUAAAAUGUAUCUACAUGAUUUAGAGAGAUCUAUACUUAUAUAGUAUCAUAAAUUUUCUCUCAUAUUCAAUAUGGGGUAUCAUAAACACCCUCUAUGCAAAUAUAACGUUCUCGUUGUAUUCCAUGAUAUUAUGGGGUAAAACAGAUAAACAAUCCUUAUAGGGCCAAAUAUACCCCCACACCAAGAUCGAUGAUUAGUUCUAAUAUCACUUAUAACGACAUGUAUCUAACCAUGUAGAUAUUUUUCGCUCUAGAAAUUGGAUAUGAGAGAAAGUUUAUGACGUUAUAUAUGUAGAGGUUCCUCUUAAUUCUAUAAACGCAUUUUAAAAUUGUGAAGACCCCUUUGGAUUCAGAGUUGAUAAUAUCUACACAGUUGGAUGAGGUUCGUUAUCUAACAUCUUAUUUUGUUAAUUAAUUUCCAACUAAUUGUCACUAUGUUCAAUGAAUCCCUUCAUCUAUAAAGAAAAGAAAAGGGGGUUGAGUUGGGAGCCUACAAUUUCUCUUAUUGUGGAUGUUUUCUGAAUGCAUUAUUGAGUAGUCAUAGAAGUGCCUUCUUAACUGUCAAUAAAAUUACAUUUGAUCUCAUUGUAACCAUAUCGAGAAGUCGAUACAUGACUCAUAUUGUAAACUCUCUCUAGAAGUUGACUACAAACUUAUUUGGUAAAUUACAAUAGUAAAAGAAAAAGAACACAAAAUAUGCACCUAGCCAAAGUUGGAUGAGAUUUACUUUUGUGAAUAUUAACAUUAAGGCUAUGUUUGGUUCGUAGAAAAUUUGAGAGAAAGAAAAUAGAUAAGAAAAUAAAUAAGAAAAAAAAAGUGAAGAAAAAUAAAAAAAAUAGAGUUGAAAUUGAUAAAUUAUAUUUAUUUACUACUUUAAAUUCAUUUUAUUUAUUUUAACUCAUCAUUAUAAAGAUUAAAAAAUUUAAAAUUUAAAAAUAUAUAAGUUCUUAAUUAAUUUUAAUUAUAUUUAAUUUUCUUGAAAAUUCUUUCUAGAACAAUCAAAUAUAAGAAAAUUAUUUUUCUUGAUAUUUUUUUCUUUUCUUAAUACUUUUCGUGCACCAAAUAUAACUUAAAAGUAUUUUUAUUUUUUAUAUAAAAUAUCACAUAUAAUUUUAUAAAAUCUAUCCUAUUAUUAAACAAAUCAAGGGUCUGUUUAAAAAUAAAUAAAUAAAUAAUUUUCCAUGGGUGUAAAUAUCUCAAAAAGAUAAUAAAAAAGCCACAUUUAAUUUACUAAUAUAAAAAAGUCCACACCUGAUAAAUCUUUUCCACCUCAUGUCUAGGCAGAUAGAAGGGAGAAAGAGACCAAAAAGACCAACUAGCUUUCUGUGGCGGUUGAGUGUUUUGACCGUUGUAGAUGUAAUUCUAUCUCAAUUUAAUCCAGGCAGCUUCUCACUUUCUUCCCCCAAAAAAUCCAUCAAUUACGUACGCACUCCCUGACACCGUGAUCAAUGCUUUCUUCUUCUCAUCUUCAACUUCAAAACUUCCAAGUUCCAAUCCUUUUACGCGUCUCAUAAAGCUAUAUAUGGACUCACAAAUUGUUAUUCACAACACUCCAAGAAUCCAAGUUCUUGCGGUAAGCAGCCAUGAUUAACUGCAGCAUAUAUGAACGCAUAUUCAAGCGCUUUGAUGAAGAUGGUGAUGGGAAACUCUCUCCUUCGGAGCUUCGACGUUGCGUGGGGACGAUAGGGGAGGAGCUACUGAUGGAGGAGGCGCAGGAGGUGGUGGAGUCGAUGGACUCAGACGGGGAUGGGUUGGUGGGGUUGGAGGAAUUUGUGGGGUGGAUGAAGAGAGAGGGCGAAGAGAGAAAGAUGGAGGAGUUGAGAGAGGCUUUUAGGAUGUAUGAGAUGGAAGGGAGUGGGUGUAUUACUCCAAAGAGCUUGAAGAGGAUGCUGAGUAGAUUGGGGGAGUCGAGAAGCGUGGAGGAGUGCAGUGUUAUGAUCAGGCAGUUUGAUGUUAAUGGCGAUGGGGUUCUGAGCUUUGAUGAGUUCAAGCUCAUGAUGUUUUGAUAUUGUAAUGAUUAUAUAUAUGAUUUUUAUUUCCUUUUCCGGUGAAUAACAUUUAUGCCUUAAUUAAAACACUUCAUCGUCUUAUCUAUUAUUAUUAUUGAAACUAAAUAAAAACCCUAUUAGUUACUAUCAAUGACAAAAUAAAAUUUAAAAUAUUAAAAAUACAAUUAAAACUAAAAAAAAUCAAUAAUAAAUAAUGCCAAAACAAAAUAUUGGUUUUCUACCAAAAAAUUAAAAAAAAAAAUAGUUUUCUAUUAAAAGUUUGUCACUUUAUCAAUGUCUAUAAUUUCUUAUAAAAAAAAUAUUUUGAUGGAUCCUAAAUAUUUUCAUAGUGAUCCUUUUCAAUCUAACUCUAGGUCAUUAGUAUAUAUGCAUUGCUUCCAUAAUAAUACCGAAUUUAUUUUUAUUUAAUUAAAUCUUUUUUUCUUAAAUGCGAGAUCAUUAUAACAAAAUCCUUUUAAAUUUAAUUACUCUAUUUGAAUAAAUCGAUUUUACUUAUUUGAAAGAAUGAAAAAUAUGAUAUUUGAUGUUUGAAAAUUCCAUCUUUGUACCUUUAAAAUCUAAUUUUAAAAAGGAUGGAACUUUAAUAUGCUUAAUAACAUAAAUUAAUUUAUCAAAUGCUUAUAAAAUUUUCUAAUAUUUUAAGUAUGAUAAACAAUUUAUUUUUCAAUCUUAUGUAAAAAAUAUUUGCUAAUGUAUUAAAAAUAAAUGUAAUUGGGAAAAAGCUUGUAAGUUGUGUCAUUCAUCCAUGCUGAGGAGUCAGUAGCAGUGUGAAGAAGUUGAUAGGUUGUCUGAAAAACCAGUUGAGUCUUUUGACGUUAGCUUGUUGUUCUACAGAAGAACACUAUUUUUUUUAUUUUUUUUUAUUUUAUUUUUUAUGUUUUAAUUUUGUAAACAUGUUUCUCGUUUGUCGCGUCAUAUCCACCUCAUGUCCGGGUGGAUUGAAAAAGCAAAAGGCUAGAAGAAAAGUAUUCUAUUCUUAGUAAAGUCAAUACGCACUCCGUGACGUCCCCUCCAGAACUUCCUAGUAAAGUUCGAUUCUUCACUCUCAAAAUCUCCAUACCCAACAGCUCUAUCUACUCCUUUUACGCGUCCCCACAACAGCUAUAUAUAUGCACACACAAGGUGUUCAUCCUCACAUCUUCACAUCUUACUACAAAUUAAGUUUUAUUCACAUUAAUUUUCAUUAACAUCCUUGUGUUGCGACAGCCAUGAUUAACUGCAAUGUGUAUGAACGCAUUUUCAAGCGCUUCGAUGAGGAUGGUGAUGGGAAACUCUCUCCUUCGGAGCUCCGACGCUGCUUGGGGACGAUAGGGGAGGAGUUGCUGAUGGAGGAGGCGCAGGAGGUGGUGGAGUCGAUGGACUCGGACGGAGAUGGGUUGCCGGGAUAGGAGGAAUUUGUGGGGUGGAUGGAGAGAGAGGGUGAAGACAGAAAGAUGAAGGAGUUGAGAGAGGCCUUUAGAAUGUAUGAGAUGGAAGGGAGUGGGUGUAUUACUGCAAAGAGCUUGAAGAGGAUGCUGAGUAGAUUGGGGGAGUCAAGAAGUGUGGAAGAGUGCAGUGUUACGAUCGGACAGUUUGAUGUAAAUGGGGAUGGG